rnacentral:rRNA from 1 species
GACGAACGCUGGCGGCGUGCCUAACACAUGCAAGUCGAACGGAAAGGCCCUGCUUUUGUGGUGUUCUCGAGUGCCGAACGCGGGAGUAACACGUGUGUAACCUGCCCUUGUCUUUGGGAUAACUUCACGAAACUGGGGCUAAUAUCGGAUAGGAGCUCCUGCUCCGUGGGGGGGGUUGGAAAGUUUCGGCGGUUGGGGAUGGACUCGCGGCUUAUCAGCUUGUUGGUGGGGUAGUGGCUUACCCAGCCUUUGACGGGUACCCGGCCUGAGAGGGUGACCGGCGACAUUGGGACUGAGAUACGGCCCAGACGGGUACGGGAGGCAGCAGGGGGGAAUAUUGCACAAUGGGCGGAAGCCUGAUGCAGCAGCGCCGCGUGCGGGAUGACGGCCUUCGGGUUGUAAACCGCUUUCGCCUGUGACGAAGCGGGAGUGACGGUAAUGGGUAAAGAAGCACCGGCUAACUACGUG